rnacentral:rRNA from 1 species
GUACACAAAAAUGCACAUAUUGUGAGCUCGAUGAGUAGGGCGGGACACGUGGUAUCCUGUCUGAAUAUGGGGGGACCAUCCUCCAAGGCUAAAUACUCCUGACUGACCGAUAGUGAACCAGUACCGUGAGGGAAAGGCGAAAAGAACCCCGGCGAGGGGAGUGAAAAAGAACCUGAAACCGUGUACGUACAAGCAGUGGGAGCCUCUUUAUGGGGUGACUGCGUACCUUUUGUAUAAUGGGUCAGCGACUUAUAUUCUGUAGCAAGGUUAACCGAAUAGGGGAGCCGAAGGGAAACCGAGUCUUAACUGGGCGUUAAGUUGCAGGGUAUAGACCCGAAACCCGGUGAUCUAGCCAUGGGCAGGUUGAAGGUUGGGUAACACUAACUGGAGGACCGAACCGACUAAUGUUGAAAAAUUAGCGGAUGACUUGUGGCUGGGGGUGAAAGGCCAAUCAAACCGGGAGAUAGCUGGUUCUCCCCGAAAGCUAUUUAGGUAGCGCCUCGUGAAUUCAUCUCCGGGGGUAGAGCACUGUUUCGGCAAGGGGGUCAUCCCGACUUACCAACCCGAUGCAAACUGCGAAUACCGGAGAAUGUUAUCACGGGAGACACACGGCGGGUGCUAACGUCCGUCGUGAAGAGGGAAACAACCCAGACCGCCAGCUAAGGUCCCAAAGUCAUGGUUAAGUGGGAAACGAUGUGGGAAGGCCCAGACAGCCAGGAUGUUGGCUUAGAAGCAGCCAUCAUUUAAAGAAAGCGUAAUAGCUCACUGGUCGAGUCGGCCUGCGCGGAAGAUGUAACGGGGCUAAACCAUGCACCGAAGCUGCGGCAGCGACACUAUGUGUUGUUGGGUAGGGGAGCGUUCUGUAAGCCUGUGAAGGUGGCCUGUGAGGGUUGCUGGAGGUAUCAGAAGUGCGAAUGCUGACAUAAGUAACGAUAAAGCGGGUGAAAAGCCCGCUCGCCGGAAGACCAAGGGUUCCUGUCCAACGUUAAUCGGGGCAGGGUGAGUCGACCCCUAAGGCGAGGCCGAAAGGCGUAGUCGAUGGGAAACAGGUUAAUAUUCCUGUACUUGGUGUUACUGCGAAGGGGGGACGGAGAAGGCUAUGUUGGCCGGGCGACGGUUGUCCCGGUUUAAGCGUGUAGGCUGGUUUUCCAGGCAAAUCCGGAAAACCAAGGCUGAGGCGUGAUGACGAGGCACUACGGUGCUGAAGCGACAAAUGCCCUGCUUCCAGGAAAAGCCUCUAAGCAUCAGGUAACAUCAAAUCGUACCCCAAACCGACACAGGUGGUCAGGUAGAGAAUACCAAGGCGCUUGAGAGAACUCGGGUGAAGGAACUAGGCAAAAUGGUGCCGUAACUUCGGGAGAAGGCACGCUGAUAUGUAGGUGAAGCGACUUGCUCGUGGAGCUGAAAUCAGUCGAAGAUACCAGCUGGCUGCAACUGUUUAUUAAAAACACAGCACUGUGCAAACACGAAAGUGGACGUAUACGGUGUGACGCCUGCCCGGUGCCGGAAGGUUAAUUGAUGGGGUUAGCGGUAACGCGAAGCUCUUGAUCGAAGCCCCGGUAAACGGCGGCCGUAACUAUAACGGUCCUAAGGUAGCGAAAUUCCUUGUCGGGUAAGUUCCGACCUGCACGAAUGGCGUAAUGAUGGCCAGGCUGUCUCCACCC